ACGUGAAGCAGAUGAAAUUGAAAGGAAAUUAAACUGAUUUAUUACUUGUUCCAUUAAAACCAUCACACUCGGGUACGUGGUGAAACCGUGAAAGUUAAAAAACAAAAACAGUAGUAGUAGAGUGAGGCCCUGCUCGCUGUUACAUGAGAGGUGCACGAAGAACCAGCACACGAGCAGAGCAUCCAGCCCACACGCAGCAAGGAAACGGUAGGGAUGCCGCCGCCGCCGCCGGCCGAUCCGCCGCCCGGCGAUGAUGCGUCGUCGUCGUCGUUCAGGUGCACGCGGAGGCGGAGCGGCGUGCGGCGCGGCGCGGUCGAGAGGUGAUGAGUAGUUGACGCGGAGCAGAUAUAUAUGGAUGGAUGGCGUCGUCGUCGGUCGGACGACGGCGAGGUCGCGCGCAUCACGCGCGGGCGUAGCUGCGGGCGAGGUGGGCGGCGCGGAGGUCGGCGGCGUCGGCGCCGCCGGCGAAGUUGGAGGGCCGGUAGUGGCCCGUCACGGGGUCGGGCACCCACGACACCUCCCUCGCCGCCGACGACGACGACCCGUCCUUCGCCUGCGUCAUCCCCGCAGCGCCCUUCCCUUCCACCGCCGCCGCCGCCCGCCUCAUCGCCGACGACGCCGCCGACGCGGCGUAACCCCUCGUCGUCGUCACCCUCGCCGCGAGCGCCCGCGCCGCGGCGGCAGCGGCAGCAGCAGCAGAGGUGGAGAGAGCGAGAGCCAUCGGAUCACUCGAUCGGACGGCUGAUGGCGCUCCGCUCCUCUCCUUCUCUACUCUGCUUCGGUGCGACGCGACUUGGGCUUGUGAGCUCUGUG
rnacentral:lncRNA from 1 species